CGGAUUGUAGUCUGCAACUCGACUACAUGAAGCUGGAAUCGCUAGUAAUCGCAGAUCAGAAUGCUGCAGUGAAUACGUUCCCGGGCCUUGUACACACCGCCCGUCACACCAUGAGAGUCGGGAACACCCGAAGUCCGUAGCCUAACUUUAACGAGGGGGCGCGGCCGAAGGUGGGUUCGAUAAUUGGGGUGAAGUCGUAACAAGGUAAC
rnacentral:rRNA from 1 species